GCCUCCACCAGAGUGAUGACGUCGAUGGAUACGUCACUCUAUUUCAUGCUCAUUGUUUCUUGUCACACCAUGUGGGGAGUUUUCCUCCACCCUACAGCACCUCCCCUCCCUCCAAUAUCACCCUCCACCUUACCCUCCCUCCCCCCCAACACACCCCAGGCACGGCUAACUGCUGUCAUUUGGAUGACGUGGACAAGUGUAGGUGCACCAUGGUGGUGGUGGUGACAUGGCAGAGCAGAGCAGAGAUCAAACAAACUGUGCCAUUACCAUGAGAGUCUGGUAAACAGAAAUGUCCGCAGUGUAUAGUUCUGCAAGCCUAAGGGACUGAUUACCUCAUCUUCGACUAUCAUUGUAUUCCAUCUCUGUAUACACUCUGACACAAAACGCGUGUCUGACGGUGUGGCCUGCCCGUAUAGAGGAUAGGACACUGGAGCGUGGACGGGAAGGCAUCCUACGAUAGACGGAAGGACACCACAGGAUAGAAGAGCCGAUGGCUGGCUUAUACGAAGUCCUACAGCUGGUUUUCUCAUAGCUAAAGGAGAUUUAAACCCUGGGAUGCUCCAGGCCUAUUCUUGGGAGUGGUUGGUAUUGUGUUUAAUAUCGGUAUUACUGGUUUAUAUUACAAUAUUACUGUUGUAUAAUAUUGGCAUUAUUUGUGUGUGUAAUACUAAUGACGAUUGUGUGUGUUUUUGUGUAUGUGUAAUGCUGAUAUUACCGGAGUUCCGUUAAUAUUGAUCUAAUAAAUGCUGGAAUUAUUGUCGUUUGGAAUUAUUUUUUUCGUGUUAUUCACCGUUAUCACUAUUAUAAUUACUGUUAUUAUCACUGCUGUUAUCACUGAUAUUAUUACUGCUGU